rnacentral:rRNA from 1 species
CCCUUAGAUGUCCUGGGCCGCACGCGCGCUACACUGAGUGUCUGAGAUACGAGUCUGCCUGGUCCGGCAAGGUCUAGGUAAUCGCUAAAAGACACAUCAUGCUUGGGAUAGAUUAUUGCAAAUAUUAAUCUUGAACGAGGAAUUCCUAGUAAGCGCAAGUCGGCAGCUUGCGUUGAUUACGUCCCUGCCCUUUGUACACACCGCCCGUCGCUACUACUGAUUGGAUGCUUAAGCGAGGUUCUCGAACUGCUAGCGACUUAGCUUCGGUGAGGUCGCAGUGUGGGAAGUGAACCUAGCUUUGGUGUCUAGAGGAAGUAAAAGUCGUAACA